UACAGAGGUCUCAAGCGUUGUUCGGAUUCAUUGGGCGUAAAGGGUGCGUAGGCGGCGGGGUAAGUCGGAUGUGAAAUCCCGGGGCUCAACCCCGGAACUGCAUUCGAUACUGCUCUGCUCGAGUACUGGAGAGGAGACUGGAAUUUACGGUGUAGCAGUGAAAUGCGUAGAUAUCGUAAGGAAGACCAGUGGCGAAGGCGAGUCUCUGGACAGUUCCUGACACUGAGGCACGAAGGCUAGGGGAGCAAACGGG
rnacentral:rRNA from 1 species